UACGGAGGGGGCUAGCGUUGUUCGGAAUUACUGGGCGUAAAGCGCACGUAGGCGGCUUUGUAAGUUAGAGGUGAAAGCCCGGGGCUCAACUCCGGAAUUGCCUUUAAUACUGCCAAUCUAGAGUCCGGAAGAGGUAAGUGGAACUCCUAGUGUAGAGGUGGAAUUCGUAGAUAUUAGGAAGAACACCAGUGGCGAAGGCGGCUUACUGGUCCGGUACUGACGCUGAGGUGCGAAAGCGUGGGGGAGCAAACAGG
rnacentral:rRNA from 1 species